GAUGAACGCUGGCGGCGUGCCUAAUACAUGCAAGUCGAGCGAACAGACGAGGAGCUUGCCCCUCUGACGUUAGCGGCGGACGGGUGAGUAACACGUGGAUAACCUACCUAUAAGACUGGGAUAACUUCGGGAAACCGGAGCUAAUACCGGAUAAUAUAUUGAACCGCAUGGUUCAAUAGUGAAAGACGGUUUUGCUGUCACUUGUAGAUGGAUCCGCGCCGCAUUAGCUAGUUGGUAAGGUAACGGCUUACCAAGGCAACGAUGCGUAGCCGACCUGAGAGGGUGAUCGGCCACACUGGAACUGAGACACGGUCCAGACUCCUACGGGAGGCAGCAGUAGGGAAUCUUCCGCAAUGGGCGAAAGCCUGACGGAGCAACGCCGCGUGAGUGAUGAAGGUCUUCGGAUCGUAAAACUCUGUUAUUAGGGAAGAACAAAUGUGUAAGUAACUAUGCACGUCUUGACGGUACCUAAUCAGAAAGCCACGGCUAACUACGUG
rnacentral:rRNA from 1 species